AAAGAAAGAAAGAAAGAAAGAAAGAAAGAAAGAAAGAAAGAAAGAAAGCAAACAAAGGAAGGAAGGAAGGAAGGAAGGAAGGAAGGAAGGAAGGAAGGAAGGAAGGAAGGAAGGAAAGAGGGCAUUGCUUCAAAUCUGUUGGAGAUAUGUAAUUUAAAAAUCUCAUUGGAUAUUUCUAAUACACUACUAAUGAUACCUUAGAAACUGGCUCAAUGAUAGAGGGAUUUCUAAGCAGUGUAAUUUCUACAUUCGAUGAACAGCUCCAUGAAUAUGCAAUAUAAAGAAUGAUUGCAGCUAACAUUGUUUCUAAUAAGGCUUAUUCCAAUCUCUGGGUUGCUUUUAAUAAUCACAUAGUCAUUCAGAAGAUUUGUUCUCCUGCUCCAUUUUGAAGGCUGUUCUGUGCUUCAUAAAAUCAGUUCAUAUAAAACCACUGAGUUGAUUUUUCAUUUUGCCUUUUCUGGAUACCUAGGGAUACAAUUGCAACUUGUCAUUUAUUCUAUAUGCAUUUUUGAAAGAUAACAUUUUUUUGUAUUUUGGGGCUGUUGUAAAUAAAAUGCUGUAAUUACAUAGCUUAUAAACAACAAACAACUGUCACAUCCCAACCUAGAGGCUGAGAAGGCCAAGUAGAGCCAGCAGAGGUGGGUUCUAGUGUGAGCACACACUUCCUGCCUCACAGAUGAUGGUCUUGCUGUGCUUUCUCCUGUCAGAUGGGCAAAGGAUGUUCUUGGAGGCCUCUUUUAUGAGCACAAUAAGCCAAACCUGAGAGUCAGAGCCCUCAAUGUGAGCCCUUCACACAGGCUCCGCCACCACACACCCCCGUCUUGUGACUAAAUCUCAACAUAAUGGACUGGGAGAGUGGAUGGCACAAGGGUUCUGACUGUCACACCUGGGUGCGUGUCAUUCAAUAAGAGCAAUGAUGACUUGUUCCACCUAGAAAGUGCUCUGAAUAGAGAGGCAUCUCAAUGCAAUUUCUUCACCAUUACUCACUCAUCUUUUUGUGAUAUCACUUUCCUUUAUUAUCCAGAAACAUAAGUGGAGGAGGGAGAGCUACAGGGCAUGGAUCCACAGAAGAGGAAGUAGGAUAUCACUGUGAUAUAUUCUUUGUUUGUUUGUUUGUUUGUUUGUUUGUUUGUUUGAACUGAGUGUCAGAGAUCCUAGCAGGGUUCUACUCUAUGGACUGGAUGCCUCUUCUGUGAGGUCUUGAAUUCAUGGAAGUGAUUAAAAUCUGAUUUGGAUAGAUUAGCAUAUCUCAGAGAUUUCUAAUUAACUGAGAUUCUCUUCCCCUUGUCUUUUUUUCUCCCUCUUUCUUUUCAUUUUCAUUUUCAUUUUUUUUCUUGCCUUGAUUUUUGUUUUUAUUAAGUCAUUUUUUUUCUUUGUUAGGCAGAAUCUCACAUCAUAACCCCAAAUGACCUGUUACUCACCAUGUGGCCCAGCUGUCUUCAAACUCACCAGCCUCCUGCCUUAGCCUUCUAAAUGCUUGGAUUACAGGCAUGACCCACCAUAACUGGCUUUGUUUUAGUUUCAGAGAAGAUGAAACUGAUGUGCGUCAAAAAGCUGGUAGUCUGUCAAGGAAAUGAGCUGAACAUGUCUGUGUACAGCUUUUGUGCCAUCCCUGGAUGAGCGAGCUGUCUGCCUCUAUGUUCUCCACAAAAUGGAAUAUAGCUGUACACCCAAGCCAAGUUAUGGAGGCUGGGAAGACCUAGAAUGUGGCAUCACUAUUUGGUUAUUUAGAAAAUUGUUACCUCAAAAAUGACCUAGGGGUCCUUAGAAUAAUAACACACAGAAGAAUAGCCUCAUUUUUCUGUUGGGCCCAGGAAACCAUGCCGAUUACCGACCGAGCUCUCAAUGGAAAAAUGCAGUCGGCGUGAACCACGCACGAACACAGCAGAGAAAGAAGAAAACACACACCACGAGGAACCCUAAUAGGACAAUACAUUAUAAGUCACAGUGCUACGGAGAAACCCAGUAGCCACAUGGAAGCAGAGACCAUGCAUAUGCAUCUACUCCGCAGCUCUGUGAAUGUCAGCAGCUCCCACGGACUGGAGAUCCCGUGAGAUCCCGUGAGAUCUCACCCAUAGCCUCAUGGUACAUCCACUUGGUGUGCUGGGAGAGUCAGGAUGAGGACCUGAGAAGAACAGCAGCUUGAACCUGACUUCAUUUAACAGCCCACUGCCCUCUUGCCAAGAACCCAUCACAGACCUUCCCAGAAGAGAGGGAUGAGCCUCACCUAUGAAUAAGUCCUCAGAAACUCAAAUUUGAUUCUAAUGGAUUGUUUUCUCAGAAAGACUGAGCAUGUCCCCCCACAUCUCUGUCAUUUCCCACAGUAGUAACCUCUGCAGAUGCCACAUAGAAAACAAAACAAAACAAAAAAACAUGAGGUUGGUGGGCAGAUAGGCAGGGUAUAAACAAACAGCCUUGUAACCCAGAAGCUGUGUGAUAUACAGUAAACUUCACAACACUGAAAAGAUGUCCUAUCUGUUAAAAUGGGGUAAUAACAACUACCCGAAUGUUUAGGAAUAGAACUUCAAUAAAUGAUACAUUUUAUAGUACAGCAGACCAUCCUGUAAAGGUUUCAUCCUUCACUGUGGUGAUAAAUAUCCCAAACCACAUUGAAAAGCAUUGCAUCUACAUUUAUCUACACUGUAACUGUACUGUAAAUCAUGGGGGAGGGGAGAAUCAUAAAAACACCACCUGUCACCGUGUCAUUAAAGCAAGUUGGAAGUGAUACUUACAGAAACACAGCAAGAGCACCCCCAGUCACACAGUUCAAUCUCUUAGCAAGCGUUUUCUUUCUAGCCCAGUGGUUCUCAGUUUGGAAUUUUUGGCACUGCCUAGAGAUAGUUUUGUUGUUAAAACUGAGAAAAGAGCCGGGCGUGGUGGCACACGCCUUUAAUCCCAGCACUCAGGAGGCAGAGGCAGG
rnacentral:lncRNA from 1 species